CGCGACCCAACGUCCACCGGAAGUGCGCGCAGAGGCUCCAGGGAACCGGCGGCUUCGGCAUCUGGUAUCCGGAGCUUCGAGAACUGGGUGGUGCUGCUCCACGCUGGAGUCGCCGCGCCGCCGCGACCAUGGUGUUCUACUUCACCAGCAGCGUUAACUCAUCUGCUUACACUAUUUACAUGGGAAAGGAUAAAUAUGAAAAUGAGGAUCUAAUAAAGUAUGGCUGGCCUGAAGAUAUUUGGUUUCAUGUGGACAAACUCUCUUCGGCUCAUGUAUACCUUCGAUUACAUAAGGGGGAGAACAUAGAAGACAUUCCAAAGGACGUAUUGAUGGACUGUGCCCAACUUGUGAAGGCCAAUAGCAUUCAAGGCUGCAAGAUGAACAACGUUAAUGUGGUAUAUACACCAUGGUCUAACCUGAAGAAAACAGCUGACAUGGACGUGGGACAGAUAGGCUUUCACAGGCAGAAGGAUGUGAAAAUUGUGACAGUGGAGAAGAAAGUAAAUGAGAUCUUGAACCGAUUAGAAAAGACCAAAACGGAGCGGUUCCCAGACCUAGCAGCAGAGAAGGAAUGCAGAGACCGGGAGGAGAGGAAUGAGAAAAAAGCCCAAAUUCAGGAAAUGAAAAGGAGAGAAAAGGAAGAGAUGAAGAAGAAGAGGGAAAUGGACGAACUUAGGAGCUAUUCCUCAUUAAUGAAAGCUGAGAAUAUGUCUUCAAAUCAGAUGUAAUAGGAAUAAUAUCUUUAUUCCUAGAAGAACUAAAUUUAUGAAGCUUCUUUAUGAGUCAGAGAUGUGUCUGUAAAAUUUAUUCCUGAAAAAUUCCAGAGUAGCAUUAUGACGGCAAUGAUUCAGAUGAAUUCAUGUGAAUGGAGAGAUGGACCUUUUAAAGAUGUGAAUUUAGGGACAGUUGCAGAUGUUUUGAUGUCAUCCAUGUUCUGAGUUAUGAAAAACAACCUCAGUCUAUACAGAUAUCAACUUGGGAAUUUUUUUUUAAAAGGUAUUUCUUUUUUUGCUGACAGAAAAGGAUCAGAUAUGUACAUAUAUAUAUCAGAUAUAGUUGGACUUGAAGACAGUGUAUAACUUUAGGAAAGUGAAAAUAUUUGUGCCCGAACAUGUCUUGGUAGCUCACGAAAGUUGGCUGCCCUUUUUCUUGGGAUAGACUUUAGAACGAACCAACUCUGAAAAGUAUUUCUGGUACUGUGGUUAAUCCCUGAAAACAGAUGUCUUGAAAAGCUUUUUAUAUUCUUAAAAUAGCUUCACUUCUAUUAAGGAGAAUGUAUUGGUGAGCAAUAUAUAGGAAUGUUCCUCUCACCGUCGAAUUCCUGAUUAGAAAAAGAUGAUAGUGAGUUUUGAAGAUGAUAGUGAUAUUUUUAUUCAUGUUCCAUUGUGUUGUCUGAGUCAAAUAGCAGAGUUGUCCUCAGCAAUCAGCUUGCCCUAGCUUCCACUUUCUGCAUCCUCAUUGUUUGAGUGAGGGCCUCCUUCUAGGUACCAUCAGACUUAAAGAAAUAUUUGGUGUUAAUCCAGGUUGGCCUUGUGUGGCAGUUUUUACCUGAGCACCAACUAACCCAGGCCUCAGAGAUUACAGCUUCCAGGCCCUGGAGUCAUGUCUCAGAAAUCUAAGGGAGGCUCUAUGAAUCAAUGUAGGUUACCUGAUUUUUGUCUUGGAAUACAGCAUAAAGCAAAAAGUCCAUGUUGUAAUUAUGUUUUUAAAAAGAAUUAAGCAUUUCACUAGCCAGCCAAAUAAUUUGUUUAUUUACCCUGAAAUAAUAUUUAUUUUGAAUUGUAACCCCAGAGUUCAGAUUUCUCCAUUGUAGACUCAGUAACUUAUUAUGUAACAGGACUGCUCAUUCAAACCACCUGCUUUCCAGUGUGAUUCUGAAUAGAAGAUAUAUUUUUAUUGAAGUGUGUAAGAGAACCCCAGCAGAAAGAAACAAAAGAACAAAGCCUGCAGGCCAGGAGGCAUACGGAUUCACAUUUUAACCACACCCAGAACUGUACGUGUAGCAUUCUUAUUCUUGUUCUAACCCAGCAGCAGUGACCUCCAUCAGAUCUAUCUGUAAUAGCACCUUGGGACUGUGGCUAAAACCAGAAGGCUCCAGUGUUUCUAUGUAUCUCAAGUUGGGGUGUGGGGAUGAACUGGAAAACUCCCGGAGGCAUAAGUUGGCCAAAUUUUGAGACAGAGUAUGGGAGACAAUUCCAGAAAUUAAUUGUGUGUGUGUUUGUCUAAUGAUAUUCAGCCUGGAGUUCUGUGAUUUAAAUAUAUAAUAAUAAAGAAUAUUUUUUUAAUUUGGAAAGACAUUGUUAGAAUUUGCUUGUAAUUCCUAUCCUUAAGAUGGUUUUGGAGAGCCUCUGGCUAUAAAAACAAAACAAAAAAGUUAUCUAUCAUAGGUUCAAUCUGGCUGGUUCUACGAGGGUAUCUUCUCUCACUGAUAGAUGCAUCUCUCCCCAGAGGCCCACUGGGUCAAAGUGGAUGACCUUUCCCAGACACACUGUUGAUUGGGUGUAGGUCAAGCAUGUCAGACUACGGCCCGCAGGCCGCAUGCCUUGUUUAUUUGGCUCGUGUUCGCCUUUGAGUUUGACAUGCUUGUGUAGGUAGUACCUGUGCUGUCCUGCCUGGUUCCUGGAGCCACUUCUUUAACACUCUGCUGCAACCUCGAAAAGGGGAGAUUUUGCCUCCAGCGUCACCUGUGUCACCUCAACUUCCUACUGCUUCUGAAGGACUCCUCUGGACCCCACAUCACAGCAUAUGUAGAGCUUUUGGAAACCACAUGUAUUUUUGCAGUAGUUUAAGCGACCCGAGGGUCCACAUUUUAAAUGUUCUGUAACUCAGCUUUUAGGUGUCAGGGGCCUCUCUGCUGAAUCUCUGAGUUCGAAGCUCCAGCCUUUUCAGCUGCUCUGUGCUGAUUUCCUCCGGCCGCGGCCUCUGCCUGUGAGCUGGGGAGUUUUCCCUCAGGUCUCGGUCCCAGAGAAAGCAGGGAUCUUUUCUUUUGAGAACAUUGGUUCAGUGUCAACAGGUCAGACUCUUGGCACUGAAGUCAUUUAAUUUCUUGCUGUUGGCAUGUUUCCGUAACUUCCUAUCGGAAAAUUCCAAAUUAGUGGUAUUUUAUAAGUUGUGCCCUUGAUCACAUUUGUACAUCCUGAGGAUUUCUCUUUCCAGCUGUCUCCAGUUUCUGUAUUCUGUUACAUCUGCAUGCAGGUGAGGUUCACUUUGUCAUUUAUUUCACAAACUGCUCUGUUAUAUUCCUGUAGCUUUAGAAUUCGUUUCUUAUACGCCUUUGUGGAUCUAGAUCACAGUCUUUGGGCAAGAGAGCUUUGUCAUAGUGCUCGGGCCGUUUACCAACAUGGAAGGUCUGUGUGUUAGCAGGCAGCCAUAGGCUGUAGUCGAACCCUUGCAAUAUCUUCUGUUAUAUUGUUUUAACUUUUUGAAGCAUGGGUUUGGUGAGCCUUUUUUUUUUUUUACUGUUUAGUGCCAAUGGUUUUCCCCACUCAGGAAGGAAGGGGGGCCACGCAUACAGCAAGAUGAGAAAGGGAGAGUUCCACUGUGGCCUCCAGUUUAAAAACAGCUCUUCCUCCCAUGGUCCCAUCUGUCCGAGAGGGGACGCUCGUUUUCCAGGCUGGAACAGGUUAUGGGAAAAACUGAGCAGGACGGAGAAAUGAACACUUGCCCAGCCUUCCUGAGCUGUGAGAUUGAAGCCUUCUCUUUCUGUUUGGUUGGAAGCGCGUGUGCACUGCGUGUGACAAUCCCAUACUCAGAAUGGUCUUAGAAGAAUGAGCACAUGACCUUUUGAUUUUAAAGUAGAUUGUGAAGCAUUCAAACUGUAAGAGAAAAAUUAAAAACUUAAAGUCCAAGCUAAAUGGAUGUGAAGGCGCAGAAACGAGGAUAGCACUGCUGGCUCCCGACAGGCUCACAUUCCAGCGUCACGAAGUGGGAGCUCUUCUCUGCCGGACACGUGGGCCUCACCUGGAGCAAGAGACUUGAUGUGCAUUGUGUCAUUUCACAAGUGAGAUGGUGCCACCUGCCUAUUUACCAUGUCCUGGAUGAGUGAUAUGUAAAAUGCAAUAAAGCUUAUAGUUUGAGUAGAA